CGUUCUAUGGCCAAAUUGGUAAAGGCAUCGCACAGGGAAGGGUGUGGGUUCGAGUCCCGCUGGAACGG
rnacentral:tRNA from 1 species